GAAACUAAAACUAAACUGUUUCUGCAAAUCAUACAAAGUUGUUGCCAGCUGUUAUUUUAGCAUCAGAGGUGCCAGGCCUUAUAACAAGUGAGGUGUAUGCUGGACUCAGCACUGAAAACUCUUUUUAGAGUGAGUUUAUUCUGAAUGGAAGUAAUGGGAUAACGAGAGGGAAAUUGUUUUUCUUACUAUUCUCACACAGGUGCUUUACCGAGGUAGCCCCCUUCCUCGAAUGUUAUUGAAAGCACUGUUAUGGUUAUAUUUGCUUUAUUUUUUCUAUUUAUGGCAUGGUUACAUAUCAUUGGCUUCAAUUGCACAAUAAUGGUAUCAAUUAUUUUCUGACAAACAGUUAAGGAUAAGCCAUAAGGAUGUUUCUGUAUACAGGUACGUUAAAGUGGGGUGGUCUAUUUAUUCCAAUCUCAAUAUGUUUGUUAUCAGCCGUUUUGCCAUGCGACAUGACACAUGUGCUUUGGUAGUUAUCUCAGCCCACUCAUCCAGUUGUGUGGUCCCUGAAUAAUCUGCUCUUUGAUUGAAGUCAAGUUCUUGCUGUUCCUAAGCCAAUUGGAAGUGCAGAAUCUGAUGUCUUCCAAAGUUACAGCAACAAGGACUGAUGGAAGAAAAGUCUCAAAGACAAAAGAGCACAAAGGGGGAAAAGCAGCCCAGGAGUGACAGAUUUCUCCUCUCAGAUAUGUUACACAGACAGAAACAAGGUUGUGGGUGGAUCAACUGUCUGAAAUGUUUCCAGAUUCCCCCAAACACCAGAUAGAAAUUGUUGUUCAGAGGUACAUGCAGAAACUGCUCUUUUGCAUGAAUUGCUGGAUAAGUUGCAGGAGGGAGAUGUUUCUAAAGUCCUUCACAACCAUCCUUCCUCUGAGUCCUUCUGGUCAGCGAUAAAUGCCUCUCACUGGCCAAUAACCAAGAAGAUAACAGAUAAGAAUGUGGCACAUCUUGUACAAAACCUACUGGUGACUGAAAUAAUUUCGUUCAGGAAGUUUGAGAUAGACUCAUUCGCUGAAGGUCUCAAGAAUUUGGAGUUCCUAGAUGCCACAAAGAACAACAAGGAAGUCUGCUUUAAGCUGCUUUGUAAUUCUAUUGAGCAAACCCUCACUCCUGAUGAAUUUAAUAAUCUCUUUGAUGCCAGUGUACAAAGGCCCUCUGACUUUGCCCAGCUACAUUCCUAUGACUGGUUCAUGGAUUAUGUAAUGCUGGUGAGGAGAAACUCAUAUGUCUGCUGCAGUUCAUUACUGGCUUUCAAUCAAUUCCACCUUAUGGUCUCCCUCACAACAUUGUGCUAAGAUAUAUUCCUGAUGAUGAUGAGAAACUUCCAUGCCAUUAGCAACAGUACACCUGGCGAUGUUACAGCUCCCAACAAUUCAUUCCCCUGAGAAUGGUUUCAAUCAAAGCUUGGAUAUUGCCUUAAAGUUUGAAAGCCAGAGGUUUCCUACUGUUUAGCACCUUUGUAACUCAAAGCAAAGAAAAUACCAGUGAACUGCAGUUUUCUGAAAACGCUUUAAGUUGGCUGUAUUGAUUUGUAGUUGUUCUCUUGUUUGUUUUGAUGCAUUACAUAGAACUUAUUAAACUUUCAUAAAGAAAUAACAAUUGCUAGUCCCAGACUGAGGGACUGAAGGCUGGUUUUAACUAGCAAUGGAGUCGUAGUUGGAGUUGUAUGUAAUCAGAUGCGUAGAGGAAUAUGAUGUAGUGAAAAUGAAACGGUCGCACGGUCGUACAUCCAAAUUUUUUCGGCUUGAUGGGUUACUACUAUUUUGUACAAUUUAAAUUAUGGGGUUACGCUCUGCGAGCUCCGCUAUCAUGUUUGCUAGGAAAAUGUAACUAAUCCAAGCUCUUUUAUUUUCUUGAGUCUCAGAAUAAUUUUUUUCGCAAAUUACAGGUUUUCAUUUCGUUUCGUUUCGUUUCGCAAAUUACAGUAAGCCGAAUUUUGGGGUGAUCGGGGUGUUCGGAGUGAUUAAUCAGCGUUUUGCUUCCAGUGGAUUCACUCGGUUGGCGUUACUCACAGAUUUGUUUUGGAAGGGAUUAUGUAGAGGGUUAGGCAGAUGAACUAAAACCGGGCUAAAUUAACCGAGCUCAGCCCAAAAAAAUUCACUCAAUGCAAAAGAACAACCACUUUAACAGGGUAAAUUUGUUAAAUUUUUAUUGUCAAAGUAUUAUUCAAAACACGUCCAGAUCUUUCUAAAGUCGAGAGCGCGGCUGUUUAUUCCCAUGCAAAUCCCUGAUUCACCCAUUGCGCAACGGAAACAUUUUUGCAUAAUCACAGAGGCUCACCGUGUGAGCUUGGGUUUUCAGUAAUUGGACGUCAAACUUGUUAAAAUAU